GAUGAACGCUGGCGGCGUGCCUAAUACAUGCAAGUCGAGCGAAUGGAUUAAGAGCUUGCUCUUAUGAAGUUAGCGGCGGACGGGUGAGUAACACGUGGGUAACCUGCCCAUAAGACUGGGAUAACUCCGGGAAACCGGGGCUAAUACCGGAUAACAUUUUGAACCGCAUGGUUCGAAAUUGAAAGGCGGCUUCGGCUGUCACUUAUGGAUGGACCCGCGUCGCAUUAGCUAGUUGGUGAGGUAACGGCUCACCAAGGCAACGAUGCGUAGCCGACCUGAGAGGGUGAUCGGCCACACUGGGACUGAGACACGGCCCAGACUCCUACGGGAGGAAGCAGUAGGGAAUCUUCCGCAAUGGACGAAAGUCGGACGGAGCAAUGCCGCGUGAGUGAUGAAGGCUUUCGGGUCGUAAAACUCUGUUGUUAGGGAAGAACAAGUGCUAGUUGAAUAAGCUGACACCUUGACGGUACCUAACCAGAAAGCCACGGCUAACUACGUGCCAGCCGCCGCAGUAA
rnacentral:rRNA from 1 species